GGAUCCAGACUUUGAUUCUGGCUCAGGAUGAACGCUAGCUACAGGCUUAACACAUGCAAGUCGAGGGGAAACGAUAGAGAAAGCUUGCUUUUUCUAGGCGUCGACCGGCGCACGGGUGAGUAACGCGUAUCCAACCUGCCCAUCACUUGGGGAUAACCUUGCGAAAGUAAGACUAAUACCCAAUGAUAUCUCUAGAAGACAUCUGAAAGAGAUUAAAGAUUUAUCGGUGAUGGAUGGGGAUGCGUCUGAUUAGCUUGUUGGCGGGGUAACGGCCCACCAAGGCGACGAUCAGUAGGGGUUCUGAGAGGAAGGUCCCCCACAUUGGAACUGAGACACGGUCCAAACUCCUACGGGAGGCAGCAGUGAGGAAUAUUGGUCAAUGGACGAGAGUCUGAACCAGCCAAGUAGCGUGCAGGAUGACGGCCCUAUGGGUUGUAAACUGCUUUUAUAAGGGAAUAAAGUGAGUCUCGUGAGACUUUUUGCAUGUACCUUAUGAAUAAGGACCGGCUAAUUCCGUGCCAGCAGCCGCGGUAAUACGGAAGGUCCGGGCGUUAUCCGGAUUUAUUGGGUUUAAAGGGAGCGUAGGCCGGAGAUUAAGCGCGUUGUGAAAUGUAGACGCUCAACGUCUGCACUGCAGCGCGAACUGGUUUCCUUGAGUACGCACAAAGUGGGCGGAAUUCGUGGUGUAGCGGUGAAAUGCUUAGAUAUCACGAAGAACUCCGAUUGCGAAGGCAGCUCACUGGAGCGCAACUGACGCUGAAGCUCGAAAGUGCGGGUAUCGAACAGGAUUAGAUACCCUGGUAGUCCGCACGGUAAACGAUGGAUGCCCGCUGUUGGUCUGAGUAGGUCAGCGGCCAAGCGAAAGCAUUAAGCAUCCCACCUGGGGAGUACGCCGGCAACGGUGCAACUCAAAGGAAUUGACGG
rnacentral:rRNA from 1 species